GCAAACUUGGUCAUUUAGAGGAAGUAAAAGUCGUAACAAGGUUUCCGUAGGUGAACCUGCGGAAGGAUCAUUAGCGAACCGAACGAAAAAAAGGGCUGUCGCUGCGCCUCUCACCCGAGGCGCGUGCACGCCCGCCCCACCCACGUACCCCGUGAACCUCAUCGUGGGGACCUCCUGGGUCUCCCGCGGAAGAAAAACAAACCCCACUCGUCGAAUGUCUCUUGCGUGUAACGCAUGUCGUACAACUUUCAGCAACGGAUCUCUUGGCUCUCGCAUCGAUGAAGAACGCAGC
rnacentral:misc_RNA from 1 species